GUUUCAGAGUCUGAGAUUGAUCCUUAUGAAUAGUGAAACAGCCAAUGUAUUUGUUCUUGUGAUGGCAUAUGCCUGAAUCCUGUCAGAUACCUCAAGAUAUCCAGAAAGAGAUGUUUGUGAAGUUGCAAACUGCUGUGAAGAGACCUUGCUAAAGCUGACUCUAUGGAUCAGUGUUUUCAGUUACUGGCCUCCAUUUCUGCUGACACAAAUAAAGCAGCUGCUAGAGGCUCCAGCUGAGACCGUGGCCCCACUAUGCCAGGCACUGUACGAACACACCAUGGGAAACAGUCUCUGCCCUGAUGAACUUGCAGUCUAAACAGACAAAGGAUGGGAAGGAAGCAAAGGCAAAAAUAACUUGCCCUAGGUCACAUAUCAGGACAAUGACGGAGCCAGGAAUGGAACCUAGGUCUCCUGAUUCCCAGGCCUGUAACCUAUCCAGCUGGACCGUGCUGCUUCUCAUGAAUAUGCUAAUCAAGUAUACUCUUGAGUAGGAAUCUUCCUGCUUGCACCAGCAAUCUUUAAAUGAUGAUUGUUAAAGUAACAUUAGGAAAGAGCUCUUUCCUGUACAUUUAACAAAAAAAAAAAUUCUCCCCACACGUCACUCUCUCCUAUUUAAUUUUUUUCUCUAAAAUCAUCUGCAGUUAAACAAAUACAGCAGAUGUCUAGUCUUCUGUGAAAAAAUUAUGCUUUGAAGCCAUGACACUAGCCUCACUUCUCAUGUCACUUAUGAUGUGGACUAAGCCUGAGAAUUGUAAAAACAAGUACUCCAAAUCAAGCAGGGCUAUUCAACCAUUAAGCACACACGUUUUUACUAGUAAGUGUGUGUGUGGUACACAUAGGAUAGCUCUUUUCGAUGCCUCUUUUUUUUUAAAGAUUAAGUACAUACAUCGUUCCAGAUUGAUUAAUUGAUUUCUCCUCCUUACAUUAACUAGCAAGGGAUUCUCCCCUUCUGAUAUAUGGAUACAAUCCCUACUGGGGCUGAUCCUGCAAGCCCUCAAUGCACACAGCUCCCAUGGUGAGUUCCCUGUAUGGAGGGCCUGCAGGAUCUGGUCUGCUGUCUUCAUUGGGAAUUGCAGCUGUCUCUCUGAAGAUGGAUUGGGCCCAGAAGCUAGCUGUGUCCUUUGCAGAGUAUUGCCAGGGACACCACCUGUAAGAAAUUGUAGUGUACGUUCAGCAGUACUAUCACCUCAAACUCUGAGAAGGUCAGUGGUGCUAUUCUAAGAAGUUGUUCUCAUUGGAUUUUAACCUCAAAUGAUAAAAAAAAAAUCUCACAACGUCUGUUGUUUCCAUGAGAUUUUUGCCAUCUUGAACCGUUACAAGCAGGAUCCAGAAAAGGGAGCCUUUCAUCACAAAGUGAUAGCCGUGGGUCAGAACCUAGGGCUUUGAUUUCGAAAACUAGUUCCCACCUCCAAAACUUAACAGCUGGGGUCGUAAUCUGGACUCACUUCUACUUUUUAUUUACCUGAAUGCCCCUGCAGUAUGUCAAGUACAAUGCUCUUCUCUAUGUCUGACACGAGGGUGUUGUUUUUGUUGCUUUACAUUUAAACAGUUGAUUCUUCCCACCCCAGCAGUGACUAAUGGUGGGUGAACUGAUCGCUGUGUAUAGUUUGGUUGGUGGUUUGGGGACUUUGUGGUUGAAAACUCCUAUAAAAGUGAAGAGUAACCCAAGGCGUCAUAGGUAGAGCUGGUUGGAAAAUGGGGAUUUUUUUUUAAAGUGGAAAAUGUUGACUCUUCUAUACAAAUUUCAAUUUUUCAGCUAUACUGUGGUUUUUGUUUUCUAAUGAAAUAUUGAAAUCUUUGAGGAAAUCAAACACUUUCUGUGACAAUUUUCAUUUAGUCUAAAACCCAGUUUUCCAUUAAAAAACAAAACAAUUUUACCUACCUCUAUAUACUUCAUAGGUGCUGGGUACUUCAGGGUUGUCUCUGUGCAAUGCAUCACCUGAGAAGGAGGGCAGAAAAUAGACUAUUUUUCACAACCACUAAAUUCAAACACAUCCACACAAAGCCAAAAAAGAUGCAGUAAAUGAGAUGCUGAUGCAUAUGUUGCUCACACAUCUUUCCACCUACCUGAAAUGGAAAUAAAUCAGGUUUAUCAUGAAAGUGUCUUUGUACUUGUGCAGUGAUUAUAUUUAACUCUGAAAUGGAAAACAAAAUAAAGUGAAA